GUCCCUAACAAAUAAUUUUGUCCCUAAAUUUUGGUCUUUAAAAUCUUAAUUUUUUGUAGUGUUUUGUGGAAUUCUAUUGUAAUCUUGACUUAAAAUUGUUUCUUGCAAAAAAAAAAAAAAAAUUAUGAUUUUUCAUGUGGCAACUGAUGUCUAAGAUGAAACUAAUGUCUUGGGUUCUGACACUCCCAAGUCCCAACCUUUUAGAAGUACUUGUUCCGGGUUGAUAUGAAAUGGGAUGUGUUAUAUGGACUCAAAUACAAGUGUUGAGUGUGAAUAUGUAUUUAAGUGUCCAAGGAUACAGAGACAUAGCAAAGUGUUCAUAUUUUUUAAUAUAAUUAUUUUAUUUUCUAGGAUAAAACUCUGUUUAUAAUUAUUAAAUUCUGUUACUCCUUGGUCACUAUGAUCUCGAGACAUCUUGGAGCAGGCAACCGGUGCAAGUGACGUUUAGUGCAUUGCAUUAAUAAUCUUCACCAUUGUCUCUCUCAAUUACCACUUCCCAAGUAGAGGGGUUUUUUUUAUAUUAUUAUUUUUAUCAUGUGAAAUAACUAGUUUUCCUUUAUCACUGUAAAUUUUAUCAAUUAAUUUUUUUUUUUUAGACAUUAUGAAAGUGGAAGAGGUCAUGCUGCAAAAUUUGAAUGGGAAAGUUCAGUAUUAUUUAGUAUUUUUCAUUAGCUUAGCUCAAAAUCACUUUCUUCAUUAUCAUCCAAAUGAAUUAGAGAUAUAAGAGAAGUAAUUUAAUAGGAUUCUCGUAGCCAAAACUAGAACCCUUGGCACAAAGUGUUUGAAAUAACUACCUUUACAUUGUUGUUUCAAAUCUAUAACGACAAAGCUCUCAAAUUCAAUUUAUCAAAAAAAAAAAAAAAAAAAAAAGGCUCUCAGAUUCAAUCUUGAUAUUCAUAUCUAAACUAUCAAAUCUAAAUUUAAGUUAUUCUGUUUGAAUGGAAGAUGUCAAAUUCUUUCAUUUUACAACCAUAAAUUCAAAGACAACCUAAAAUUGUAGUUCUAAUGAAACAUAACUUCAAAAAACUAAAAAAGAUGAGAAGUAGCCUCUAAGUAACCAAUUUGGUUGCUGCAAUCUUGCCAUCAUUGCUAUCAAAUGAACAAACAUUCAUAUAUAUAUAUGUGUGUGUGUGUGUGUGUGUGUGUGUAUGGUUAAACCAUUGUGUUGUGCACACAAAUCCGGAGUGCUUUGUUUGCUUGCUAGUUGUAUAACUUAAAUAGAAGGGGCUUCAUAGCUUGAAUUGAAUAUGGAGUUACUAUUGUCAACUGAUGAAAAGAGAAACGGUUGGUAGGUUAAUUAACAAUCUAAAUAAUUUUGAACUCCUCUUUAUGUUGAUUGUUUUCUCCACAAAAUCACUUUAGAGCUCGUCAUAGUGGCUCAGUUCAGCCAUUUUGUCCAUUUUUGUGAACCCUUUUACCCUUUCAAAUCCAUAUUAAAAUGUUAAAAUGCUUUUGGUUGCAUAUAAUUUUUAUCCAACCGCGGUACAAAAAAAAAAAAAAAAAAAAAGUUUUUGCGUUUGCUUUUUCCACUUCAUACAAUGGUAUGUGUUAAUUUGCAUUUGCUGCUGAAAUUAUUUGAAAACUUGCGGGCAACUGAGUGAAUUGGAUAUGUUUUAACAUAGUUAUUAGUUAUCUUGUGUUAGUUCAAGCUGGCCUACCCCUUGUUAUUUUGCAUUUAUUUUCACUUUUUAUUCAUUUCCUGUGAACAUUUUCUUAAUGUGUUUUUGACCAAUGAAGUUUUGUGGUGAGCUUAGUAAUGACCACAGCAGUAAUUUAAUCAAAUCUCAAGUGACUAAGGAUUAUUGAGAACCAUGUAUCCUGCAUUUCUUAACCUCCACAAGGGAAAAUUCAUGCAUAGAAUAUCAAUCAAAAGAGCAUGAGAGAGAGAGAGAGAGACUUACCAGAAAAAAAAAAAUUGUGAAAAACAGGGCAUUUUGGCCAUAUGUGUAAUCUGAUAUACAGAAUGUAAUAGUGAGCAGAUUGUUUCUCUUUAUCGCCAACUAUUGCAGAGGCUUAACUCCCCUGAUUUGCCGCUGAACUUGGCAGCAAGACUGGCCAAAAAAGAUGAGGUUCGUGCCAUCUUCAUGCUGGCUUCUGAGGGGCGAUCCCUCCACAACAUCAACGAUCUCAUUGAUGCUGCUGAGUACUCCCUCUCCCUCUUAAGAAAAGGCCAAAUCCCCAAAUACAUCCAAUGAAUAAGUGAACGACAACAACCAUAAUUCAUUUCUGUAUCAAUUUUGUGGCUCUACUGCUCUAUGGGAACCAGCAACAAGGUUAACUCUUGGCAUUAAUUUUGCAUUGAGUGCAAUAAUAUGAAACAUUAUUACUUCAAUAAAUUUCUAACAGCUCUUAGUUACCAAAGAUGGUAGAUAUUUUGUUGAAUAUGGCCUUUUCCCAACUUUUUGAAUAGGGCUUAAUUUGAUUCCUGGGUCUGCGACUGUCUAUAUGUGCUGUUUCCUAUGGACCCCAGCUAUGUCAAUGCCAUUUUUACCCAAAUUUCCAACCCAAAUAUUAGUAUUUACAAUGUGAUCAUCUGAUGCUUUUCUUGUUUCAAGAACUACAACGAUUUGUUAACUAAAUUAUUAUUUUUUUGUUUUUUAAACAUGAAUUGCUUGCGAAAGGCAUGGUUUCGGGUAGCCACAUGUACCCUUUUAUUCUCAGGGCAUGUGCACAAUCAAGUGCAUUGAGAUAAAUAAGGGCAGGAGGUUCAUGUGCAUGCAGUUAAGUUGGAUUGGUAUCGGAUUUGUAUGUAAUGAACACGAGAUGAGGAUGUAUGUUGUUUGUGGGGUUAUUGAAGCAGUCCAAAAAUCGUUUGAUGGAAGUUCUCAUAGAGAUUUGGUUUCAUGGACGAUGUUGAUUUAGGGAUAUGUUAAGAUGGUUUUUGGAAAGAAGGUACACGGGUAUUUUUCUAGACAUGUGAAGUAUAUUUUGAAGCCCAAUAAAUGAUGAUGGUAAUAGUUCUUUCUGCAUUUGCUAAUUUGGGAGAUUUAAGUUUGGGUAGGAGGAUACAUGGGUAUAUGCGUGAUCAUAAUGUGAAUUUGUGUGUUUGUUGGGGAUCUGUUGGUUGAUAUGUCCUUGAAAUACGUCGAUACAAAUUUUGCUCUUGGAAUUCUAUGAUACCAGGAUUAUGAUCAAAGGAAAUUCAAAGAAGCCUUAAAUGUUUUUAGGAAGAUGCAGAGUAGAGGUGUCAACCCAAAUUUCAAAUCAUACCUAUAAAGUAACGAGAUGUACAUUAGUGGCAGUGGACACGUAUAAAUUAUUUUCUUAAAUGGAACUGACUAGAGUAGCACUGUCAGACCGUGUUCCACCAUCUAUUCUAAAAACAAUUGGUAUUAGGGAGGGUUUCACUUACGUCUUUUGGGGCGUUUGACAUCAGGCCUGUAUAGGUUUGUUCUUAGAGCUGUCGUAAGGAGUAGCAUUCUGCACCCAAUGAUUCCUCCCUCACGAUGAUAUGCUCCUGCGAUGAUACCCAUUUGUCAGAUCACGUUUCACCAUUGAGACCUUGGAAAAUGGCAAAAAUCAUUUUUUAAAUUAGAGA